UGGGGAAUAUUGCACAAUGGAGGGAACUCUGAUGCAGCGACGCCGCGUGAGUGAUGAAGGAAUUCGUUUCGUAAAACUCUGUUCUAUGGGAAGAAAAGGACUGUACCAUAGGAGAAAGCUCCGGCUAAAUACGUGCCAGCAGCCGCGGUAAUACGUAUGGAGCGAGCGUUGUCCGGAAUUAUUGGGCGUAAAGGGUGCGCAGGCGGCUUUACAAGUUGGAUGUGAAAUAUUGUGGCUCAACCACAAACGUGCAUCCAAAACUGCAAAGCUUGAGUUAAGGAGAGGUAAGUGUAAUUCCUGGUGUAACGGUGGAAUGCGUAGAUAUCAGGAGGAAUACCGGUGGCGAAGGCGACUUACUGGACUUAAACUGACGCUCAGGCACGAAAGCGUGGGGAGCAAACAGG
rnacentral:rRNA from 1 species